UACGGGAGGCAGCAGUGGGGAAGUAAUUGCACAAUGGGCGCAAGCCUGAUGCAGCCAUGCCGCGUGUAUGAAGAAGGCCUUCGGGUUGUAAAGUACUUUCAGUCGUGAGGAAGGUGUUAAGGUUAAUAACCUUAGCAAUUGACGUUAGCGACAGAAGAAGCACCGGCUAACUCCGUGCCAGCAGCCGCGGUAAUACGGAGGGUGCGAGCGUUAAUCGGAAUUACUGGGCGUAAAGGGCACGCAGGCGGUUAAUUAAGUUGGAUGUGAAAUCCCCGGGCUUAACCUGGGAAUGGCAUUCAAGACUGGUUAGCUAGAGUCUUGUAGAGGGGGUAGAAUUCCAUGUGUAGCGGUGAAAUGCGUAGAGAUGUGGAGGAAUACCGGUGGCGAAGGCGGCCCCUGGACAAAGACUGACGCUCAUGUGCGAAAGCGUGGGGAGCAAAC
rnacentral:rRNA from 1 species